CAGUGGCAGCCCCAGCUGCAGCAGCUGCGAGACAUGGGGAUCCACGACGACGAGCUGAGCCUGCGGGCCCUGCAGGCCACAGGAGGGGACAUCCAGGCUGCCCUGGAGCUCAUCUUUGCUGGGGGGGCCCCCUAAAUCUUCUGCUGGACUGCCUCAUCAGGACUCAGCAUGGAGAAGGGAAGAGGUGGCUCUGUGCUGGGGAAGUGGCCCCCUCCAGUUGUACAAUGUUUUAUCUGUCAGCACCCUCUGCCUGUUGUUUCAUUCCCUGGAUUAAAGGGGCCCUGCUCAGUUCCCUG